rnacentral:tRNA from 1 species
CAGGGAGACAAACAAUUGAUCUUGAUGUUUGAUUUUAUUAUUAUUAGACCGAGAUCCUGUCACCUUAGGUCGAUCGGUACCUCAAAUUAAUUAGCGAAAUAAUCAUUAUUUGAUUAUUUCGACUAUUAAUUUCAGUUCCUAAACUUGUCUAGGUCACACCCCACAAGGGUUACUCCUGGGCCAUUAGCUCAGGUGGUUAGAGCGCACCCCUGAUAAGGGUGAGGUCCCUGGUUCAAGUCCAGGAUGGCCCAUUCGGUGUUGGGGGUAUAGCUCAGCUGGUAGAGCGCCUGCUUUGCAAGCAGGAUGUCAGCGGUUCGAGUCCGCUUACCUCCACUGGCCGGCCCCUUUCAGCGAUUCAGUUUGAGGCCCUUCGUGAUUUGUGAUUUGGAUUAAUCCGCUGAUGGAACCUAGCUUCCUCUCAUUCCAUGCCUCUUUUGGCAAGGUUGAUAGGACGCUGGGCUCACUCCAAUCCUUAAGGAUUGGAGGGAUGUUCAGCAGAACCUUGACAACUGCAUAGUGAGUCUGGAAAAAAUAAAGCAUCUCAUGGAUGCAUUGUCCUUUUAUUUUGUCUUUAUGCUAUUUGCUAAAGAUUUAAGAAAAGACAAUGUUAUUUAUUGAGCAAGAGCCGAGACUCUAUAGCUUUCUUUUUAUGUUUUUCAACAUAAAGAGUUUGAUCUCUGAUUCAAUUUAUCUUUGAUAAUCAGAUUUUUCUGUUUUAUUGCUGAAUUAAAUUCAAUCAUUGAGAAUUACGAUUUCAACUACGUAUAUGGCUAUAGAGAUUAAUUU